rnacentral:tRNA from 1 species
CGGUUCUUAGCUUAGUGGUAGAGCAUUUGACUGCAGAUCAAGAGGUCACUAGUUUGAAUCUGGUAGAGCCCU